AGUAACCUGCCUUGGAGUGGGGAAUAACAGCUGGAAACAGCUGCUAAUACCGCAUAAUGCAGUUGGGUCGCAUGGCUCUGACUGCCAAAGAUUUAUCGCUCUGAGAUGGACUCGCGUCUGAUUAGCUAGUUGGUGGGGCAACGGCCCACCAAGGCGACGAUCAGUAGCCGGCCUGAGAGGGUGGACGGCCACAUUGGGACUGAGACACGGCCCAAACUCCUACGGGAGGCAGCAG
rnacentral:rRNA from 1 species